CACAGUGGAAGUCAGGCUAUUUCUAGCUGCCAUGGAUUCCAAAGUAACUGUCAACUGCCAGUCUGAAGACUAUACUCAGUAGUGGCCAAAUUACAAGAAGAAAGAGCCUUAUCACCUGGCAAGCCAUGGCUGGAUAUCUCCUUCAAAAGACUGUGUAAAACUUCAAGAUCUUUCUUAUGUUCUAAGAAUUCAGAAGUUGAUUCCUACAAAGGAUUUAGAUAUUUAAACAAUAGAAGAUACUGCUAGAUUUUCAGAUGGCAUUCUAUCUACCAAGAGCCUCAAUUCCGGUGUCAAGGCCAGCAUCGUCAACACUGGACCUUAGCUAUCGAUGCCCUGAGAGAUUCAAGUAGCACCUUCCAAUGGCCAUCAUGGAGCACUAACAUCUCACAAGCUGCAGCUAUCCAACUAGUGCUGAGCAGCUGGAGAAUACAGACCACAGCACAAAAGAAUUCAUUUAGGUGCGGGAAAUAAUCUAGAAUUUCCAGUGACUGACUAGAGAACACUUCUUUGUAAAAUACAAAGCACAGCUAAAUUAAAUCCUCAAUAAUGUUGA